AACGAACGCUGGCGGCAGGCUUAACACAUGCAAGUCGAACGCCCGUAGCAAUACGGGAGUGGCGGACGGGUGAGUAACGCGUGGGAACGUACCCUGAGGUACGGAAUAACCGAGGGAAACUUCGGCUAAUACCGUAUGAGCCCCGCAAGGGGGAAAGAUUUAUCGCCUUGGGAGCGGCCCGCGUCGGAUUAGCUAGUUGGUGGGGUAACGGCCUACCAAGGCUUCGAUCCGUAGCUGGUCUGAGAGGACGAUCAGCCACACUGGGACUGAGACACGGCCCAGACUCCUACGGGAGGCAGCAGUGGGGAAUCUUGCGCAAUGGGGGCAACCCUGACGCAGCCAUGCCGCGUGAACGAUGAAGGCCUUAGGGUUGUAAAGUUCUUUUACCCGUGACGAUGAUGACGGUAACGGGGGAAUAAGCUCCGGCUAACUUCGUGCUAGCAGCCGCGGUAAUGCACGACUGU
rnacentral:rRNA from 1 species